AGUGGGCAAAAUGGUAGCAGCUGGCAGCUUCUGCUUCAGAUAAAUAGAUCUCAGCAGUAACAACCUGAAUUUGCCUGUCUCUCCAGACUUCAGAUCUGCUUGUUUGCCCUGCAACCUCAGUUCUUUGAUGGAUCCAAGAAAAGGCCUUGAUUUUUGGCUUAAGAUUUUUCUUAUUGUAAGAAGAGAAGUGAUGACUUCUAAGCUGUUUACACUGAGGGCCUAAAACCAGAGUUUUACACUUGAUUUUUGGAGAGAGGAUUCCCAACCUUUUCACAUCUUCCUCCAUGCUGCCAUAACCCAAAGUUACCACAUUGUUAUCUGGUCUUGGACACCAAUUGGAAACUCUAAACAUGAGGAUAGUAAAGAACUUCCAUUCCUUUCAUCAUGGCACAAUGAUAAAAACCUUAGACCGGCAGGAAAGCCACGUGAAUUCAGACCAUUAAUGUGCCAGUUACUUCAACGAACUGAUGGCUCUCAACUUGCUCAUCUAUGAACUGGAUGAAUUGAAACAGAUGACCUUUAUACCUUUCCUCUCGAAUAUUCUUCAUAGCAUUUUGUAACUCAACCUUAUGUUGCAUGGCAAAAUGUAGCUUUAUUAUGUUUAAACAAUAACAUGAACAAAAAAAGUGAGUUGGAUACUAUUAUCCCUUUUGGUCUAUUUUAUUUUUAAUACAAUUUGAUCUGUUUUGACCUAAGGAAUAUGUAUGAUUUGGAAAUAAAAAUACAGUUGGGGAUAAGAUGAUUCUAAAGAUGCCAUGAUUUCCUGAAAUAAAAAUGAUUUUUUGUUGAGGUUUU
rnacentral:lncRNA from 1 species